rnacentral:misc_RNA from 1 species
GGCCUAAGAUUAGUAUUUUUAAGAUCAGUGAUAUCAUCAGACAAAUUCCAUGAGCUCAAAUGAUCUAAUGGAAAUGGAAAGUAUCCAGCACCGGGAGUAGAUAAGUUAUGGCGGAGGGGACCAUUUGAUAUGACUUUUCCAUUCUGAUUGAGAUUGGCAAGUGAUUCGUUUCCUCCCACUGAACCAAAUUUCACAGCUUUAAGUGUGUUCAGUCCUUGUGAUCUUGUUAGAAUCUUUUCAGGAAAACUAUGUUUUCCUAAUUUAUCCAAAACAUUUAUACCAUUGUGUGAUUGAUUCAGAC